UAGGAAAGUCAUAAAUAUAUAAAUUAUAUUAUAUAAUUAAUAUAAUAAUAAAAUAAAUUAUAUAUUUUAUUUAUAAUAUUAUUUCUUUAUAAGAUAAAAUAUUAUCUGAUGAAUAAUUAGAUUAAAUAAUAUUUAUAAAGAAAUAUAUAUAUAUAUAAAAAGUCAUUAUAUAAAUUUAAUUAUAAUUUAAAUAAAUUUUAUAUAAAUUAAUAUAAUAUUAAUAAAGUAAUUAGUAUAAAUAAAUAAUAUGAAAAUAAAACUUAAUAAAUAUAUAAAUAUAGUCCAUAUAUAUAUAUUAAUAAAAAAAAGUAAUAUAUAUAUAUAUAUUGGAAUAGUUAUAUUAUUAUACAGAAAUAUGCUUAA
rnacentral:misc_RNA from 1 species